GGUUGUCCUCGUCUGCUGGACGCCGGCCUUGCUCCUCAGCCUCCUGUCCUUCACCAGCGUCCAGCCCACCGCCAUCUUUGCACUGUACGUGGCCACGGCGCUGACCAUGUCCCUCCAAGGGCUCCUGCACAGCUUGGUCUAUGGCUGGCUGCGGCAGAACUUCCGCCAGGAGGCUCUGGGGGAGACAGUCCCCCUGAGAUACUACCCCGGCCUCAAAGCCUUCUACGAUGAAUCUCUUUGUGUCACUGAGCAGUAGGAGGGGCCGGCGCUGGCCACUCCCGGGCCCCCAGCUGGGAGCACAGUGCGUUUGGUAGGAAUUCUGCACAGCGUCUCUCCCCUGGCCUCGGCCCACACACCGAGCAAUGCUUAGGUAACAAGGAAUCCGCUCGAUGCUGACUUCGCCGUGCAGCCUUCCUGGAAAACAGGGACCAACUGCAGCAGAGUCUGCCCCAAUUUCCCCUCC